GUAAAUGUUUGUGGAUCAGUCUCACCAAAAACUCUGGGUUUAGUUCUUCAUUUCAGCUUUUUGAUUCUUUUCUAAAGAUGCUGAUUUGGUCGCAGCUUUAAGGACAGUGAUUGUGGAGAACUUUGAUUGUUUGUAUUUCUCAUUUUGAAGUUUGAUAUCAAGAGUUAACCUUAACCUUAACAGUUAAGUUAGUUAAGGUUGAGGUUAAGGUUGAGGUUAAAUUAAGGUUAAGGUUGGGGUUAAGGUCAAGAUUGAGAUUGAGGUUAAGAUUAAGGUUUAGGCUGAGGUCAAAGUUGAGGUUGAGGUUGCAGUUGAGGUAAAGGUUGAGGUAAAGGUUGAGGUUAAGGUUGAAGUCAAGGUUAAGGUUGAGGUUGGGGUUGUGGUUGAGGCUGAGGUUAGGGUUUAGGUAGAGGUUAAAGUCAAGGUUGAGGCUGAGGUUAAGGUAAAGGUUAGGGUUGAGGUUAAGAGUAAGGUAAAGGUAAAGGUUGAAGUUAAGGUUGAGGCUAAGGUCAAGGUUGAGGUUGAGGCUAAGGUUGAAGUUAAGGUAAAGGUUAGGGUUGAGGUUAAGGUUAGAGUUGAGGUUGAGGUUAAGGUUGAGGCUGAGGUUAAGGUUGAGGUUGAGGCUAAGGUUGAGGUUGAGGUUAAGGUUGAGGUUGAGGCUAAGGUUGAGGUUGAGGUUAAGGUUGAGGUCAAUAUUAAGGUUGAGUUUAAGGUAAAGGUUAGGGUUGAGGUUAAGGUUAGGGUUGAGAUUGAGGUUAAGGUUAGGGUUCAGGCUAAGGUUAAGGUUGAAGCUGAGGUUAAGGUUGAGGCUAAGGUUAAGGUUAAGGCUGAGCUUAAUGUUAAGGUUGAGGCUGAGGAUGAGGUUGAGGCUGAGGUUGAUGUUAAGGUUAAGGUUGAGGUUGAGGUUGAGGUUAAGGUUGAGGCUGAGGUUAAUGUUAAGGUUAGGGUUGAGGCUAAGGUUAAGGUUGAGGCUGAGGUUAAUGUUAAGGUUAGGGUUGAGGCUAAGGUUAAGGUUGAGGCUGAGGUUGAGGUUGAGGUUGAG